rnacentral:rRNA from 1 species
GACGAACGCUGGCGGCGUGCUUAACACAUGCAAGUCGAACGGAAAGGCCCUGCUUUUGCUGGGUUCUCGAUUGGCGAACGGGUGAGUAACACGUGAGUAACCUGCCCUUGACUUUGUGAUAACUUCACGAAACUGGGGCUAAUAUCGGGUAUGAUCUCCUGCUUCAUGUUGUUGUUUAGUAAAUUUCGGCGGUUGUGGAUGGACUCGAGGCUUAUGAGCCUGUUGGGUGGGUAGGGGCUUUCCAAGCCUUUGACGGGUAGCCGGCCUGAGAGGGUUACCGGCCACAUUGGGACUGAGAUACGGCCCAGACUCCUACGGGAGGCAGCAGUGGGGAAUAUUGCACAAUGGGCGGAAGCCUGAUGCAGAAACGCCGCGUGCGGGAUGACGGCCUUCGGGUUGUAAACCGCUUUCGAAUGUGACGAAGAGUGAGUGACGGUAAUGGGUAAAGAAGCACCGGCUAACUACGUG